GCGGAUGGCUGGAUGACCGCGUGUAUCGUCAGAUAUGCGAGGAAAGUCCGGACUCCAUAAGGCAAGGGUGCCGGGUAACGCCCGGCUGGGGUAACCCAAGGGAAAGCGCCACAGAAAAGAAACUGCCCAGCAUGCUGGGUGAUGGUGAAACGGUGGGGUAAGAGCCCACCGCGGGUCUGGUAACAGAACUGGCACGGCAAGCCCCACCCGGAGCAAUGCCAAAUAGGGGCCUUACGUGGGCUGGUCUGGCAACAGAUACCGCCACAGUUUGCUUUAAACCUGAGGCCCGGGUUGGUAGCUAGAUCUUCUUGGCAACAAGAAGACCAGAGGAAUGGUCAUCCAAGGGGGGAACCCCUGGACAAAAUCCGGCUUAUAGGCUGUCCGCGCGC
rfam:Cryomorphaceae bacterium BACL7 MAG-120910-bin24 contig00268_1_120910-bin24, whole genome shotgun sequence.